rnacentral:lncRNA from 1 species
AGGCCAUCCAGGCAGGCCCCCCCUAAGGGGAGGGGGGCAGGAACGUCCCCCUCACCACGGCCCAUCCUAACUCAGUAACCUGCGUCUCCUUCUCUGGACAGCAAAGCUGUAGCAUGAAGCCUCCGUCCACCAGCACCCAACAAGCUGACCAAACAGCUAACAAGAAAGGGGGAUUGCCUGCAGGGCCCAGACCUCACACCAGCCCAGAGGCACGGCAACAGACCCCAGGCACCUUGCAGAAAAGACUUCGGAAUUCUCGCAUUUAGUGGCAGAGCAAGAAGACAUUCAGGAAAGAGCCCCGAGGGUAUGCCACGUGGGACGGGGCAGCCAUGUCCAAGACCACAAGGGCAGCAUAAAGAGUGGGGAGCGGGGGCGAGGGACGAUGGGAGUCGCCUCUACAGGAGCCCCGUGAUCUGAGGUCAGACGUUAGAUGAGAAGACAGCAGAGCGAGGCGAGAUGUAAGAGCCGAGGAAACAGGUCAGGGUCACGCCAUAGCUAGGACAGGAAACCGAGGGCCCAGGGUGGCAGUGACUAGCACGGGGAAGCCUGGAGGUGGGCUGGGGCGAGACCAAGCAGUUAGCACAAUCGCUUCGUCAUUCAUUUGCUAAGCACCCACUUCAAGCCACACACUUCAGAUGCUGGGGGCCGGGGGGAGGGGCAGUCACUGUCCAGCAGGAAGCGGGGAAGCAGUGAUAAAUACAGCAGUCCAGGCCUUGAGGACAAAGUGAUGAGAGGGGUCAGGGGACAAGCGCUCACGUGGGGGCACUGUUUGUUUAGAGGCGGGGAUACUGGUGAGGAGGGACCCAUGGGAGCCUAAUGGUGGGUGAAAGGGUCCAGAGGCCACUGGACAGGGCAGCGUCCCUGUGCAGGGCCUGCAGGGCUCCGGGUGACCUGAGCUGACCUUUGGCCCUGGCGGCCACUUGCUGAGGGAUGGGGCCCGCAGCAGCGUGUGGAGGCCAGUGACCCAGCAGGAGGCACAGGGCGCAGGAGGCUGCAGUUUGAAAAAGGCUCAAAGACCCUCCACAGGCCACUCUCCCCAGCAUCACCUGGGAGCCCCCAGGACCACAGCAGGCUGAGUCACACGGAGCCCACCUCGCCUGCUCACUCAGCCUCAGAGACGAGAGAGAUGCUCUUCAGAAAACCCAUGUCACAUGCAGCAAGGACAAAAGCUAGCCCUGUUCCCCGCAGCAACGUUUGAGACCUGAAGACCAAGUCAGGAGGCCGAGAACACUUUACCAAAGAAUGCUGCCCCGGCCUGCGGAGGGUGCCGUCCAGCGGGGAGCAGGGAGCAAAUGAUACACAGGGUGGCUGAGGCCUUGAAGACAAGCGUGAUGAGGGUCAGGGCACAGGGCGAUCACAGUGGGGGCACUGGCGAAGCAGGCACCCUUGGGAGCCUAAUGGUGGGUGAAGAGGUCCCACCAUGAGAGUCUAAAGGCCUUGGGCAAACAUUUUUAAACCUAGAACCUGAGAAAUAAGGUUCUUUAAAAAUGUAAAAGCUGACCUUCG